UUGCACGCUGGCGGCAGGCCUAACACAUGCAAGUCGAGCGGAUGAAGGGAGCUUGCUCCUGGAUUCAGCGGCGGACGGGUGAGUAAUGCCUAGGAAUCUGCCUGGUAGUGGGGGAUAACGUCCGGAAACGGGCGCUAAUACCGCAUACGUCCUGAGGGAGAUAGUGGGGGAUCUUCGGACCUCACGCUAUCAGAUGAGCCUAGGUCGGAUUAGCUAGUUGGUGGGGUAAAGGCCUACCAAGGCGACGAUCCGUAACUGGUCUGAGAGGAUGAUCAGUCACACUGGAACUGAGACACGGUCCAGACUCCUACGGGAGGCAGCAGUGGGGAAUAUUGGACAAUGGGCGAAAGCCUGAUCCAGCCAUGCCGCGUGUGUGAAGAAGGUCUUCGGAUUGUAAAGCACUUUAAGUUGGGAGGAAGGGCAGUAAGUUAAUACCUUGCUGUUUUGACGUUACCAACAGAAUAAGCACCGGCUAACUUCGUG
rnacentral:rRNA from 1 species